CACUGUGCCAAUGAUGUUGCCUUGUGGGAUUUUCUAGCAAUGACAGGAGAAUCUACAUAUCUUUGAGCCCAUGGGUUUCUCUUUGGUCGUGACAGCCAGAGGAAAGAGACUCCUCCCUUAUUUCCAGAGAAUGGUAAAGAAGCAUUGCCAGCCAUGUUGGCACACAGCUGGAGUGGGAGGCUGAGGCAGAAGGAUCCCCUGUGGUCCUAGUCAAAACCUUGUGGAGAACUGUACAGAAAGGCCAUCCCAAGCCUCUGCCUGCAAGACGAGGGCAGUUUUGGUCCACAGCGGGUCUCCUGGCUGGCUGUAUCCCCAUCGCUGUUAUUCACCGUUUGGCAGCAGCAGGGCAGAGAGCCCAGCUCGCCAAGAGCUUGUUGGACUCCUGAGACCUGGUGGGAGGGCAUCACUUACGUCUGGUCAAGGAAACAAGAACAUAAUAAUCAGGAGUCCCAGGAUCUUACAGGAAGCAGGAGGAGCCAAGGAAAGAAGGGGAGAGAAAGGUGAUAAAUCCAGGCAAGGAUUGCUGUGGAGCAAAUGCCUGCCUUGGGCAAUAAAGACUCCGCAUCUCUGUCCCCGUUGUCGCCAGUCAAGAGACGAGACGCAGCUCAAGCUCAGACAACGGCUCCAGGCAGCAAAUCAAUGCCUAUAAAGUGAAAAGCCACCGGAGAUUUCUAGGCCACCAGAUGUGCAGUAUUUAGACAGAACAGCUGAAUCACCCAACACCUUCCUGGUUUUCCCUGAACCCCGCCGCGAAUCAUCUCACAAGACCCUGUGCAGAGGCCACCUCUGGUCCCCAGCGCUCCGAGGCACCCUUCCACGGCUCCCCAUUCCUGCCUCCUCCUGCAGCACACAGCAAAGGAACCUGGUGCUGGCCUGGUCCGGUGAUCUUUACCCGAGCAGGGCCUGGGGAAGAUGGGGAGACACCAGGCCAGAACUGCCAAGCAAUCUGCAGAAGUAAUUUUCUGAUGCAACCAAGGACAACAGGGGCACUUGGGAAGAGAGGUUCUGUUUUGCUCACUGCCCAGAAUAGUGCCUGGCACAUAGCAGCUGCUCACUAAACGAUUUUUGGAUGGAAAGAGAGUCCUGCAUAGGCGCUAGCAUACACACUGCCUCAUUUGGACCUCAGCCCCAUUUUACAGGGAUUGAACUCGGGACCUUUUGCUUGUGCUUGAGAGGCAGCUGGCAAAACCACUGAGCUAAAUCCUGGCCUGUUGGUUGAUUUCUUGAUAGCAGC
ensembl:lncRNA